rnacentral:rRNA from 1 species
AAAAAGUUGUUUAAAGACACGAUUUGCCGAAAUAUUGAAGACGAUUUAGCCCUAUAAAAAUCAAUGUCCCUUGAUGCCACAGUAGGGUUAGGAGAUCCCGUAAUCUCCGAAUUCAUUUUUAUAAUUUUUCGAAAAGUCUGAAAACUGUACAAAAUGUAUAUAAGGUCCGAAUGUAUAUACUCUUAAAGGUUAGUGAACCUUUGAAACAGGUAUUUGGUCACUUCACGCGAUAGAAAAGAACGAAAAUGUAUGUGCUUGUAUGUAUGUAUGUUACUUGAAACUAGCUGUAUGGUAUGUAAACCAAGCAUAUGUGAUCCACUAUGCACUUCUCAAAAUUUUGUAUUUAACUUUCGAAACACGUGUACAAAAGAAUUUUUUAAAAAUGUUUGAGCUUUUUGUUCGUUUAGAGCCUUUACACCGAAUAUGUACAAAGCGUUUUUUAAUAAUUAUUAAAAACAAUAUUUUAAUAAUUAACCGAACCGAAAAUUAGUGGUGGAUCACGUCGGGGUCACCAAUGUUACGAGGACUGACUGGUUUGACAGCCCUUUUUAAUAAUUAAUAUCAAAUUAGUACAAACGAUAUUGUAUAAUUCUUAUUUAAUUUAUUAACGAUUUUGUUUAUUAUACAUACAGCAUUAGUUAAGUGCGCUUAGAAUGUAAGUGUCGCGAGAGACAGAUUAGAACAAACGAAGAACGACUUACGACUGACUUGAAGAGUCCAAAGCAAAAGCGUAAGAAGCUGAGCAUGCGCAAAAGCUCGUUAAAGAAGAAAGCGAUAAUAAAAUAGUGUGAUAAUUGAAAGCUAAUAUGUGCAAGAAGUGACCGAUUACAGUGGGCAAGAAAGAUUAUUUGAAAAAUGUGCUUUACGUUAAAGUUUAAAUUGGCAAAAGUAUAAAUGUUUUAGAGAAAUUAAAUAGAUCGCUAGUUCUGCUCCCGACAGACACAAUGUGAUUUCUGCCCAGUGCUCUGAAUGUCAAAGUGAUGAAAUUCAAGUAAGCGCGGGUCAACGGCGUGAGUAACUAUGACUCUCUUAAGGUAGCCAUAUGCCUCGUCAUAUAAUUAGUGACGCGCAUGAAUGGAUUAACGAGAUUCCUACUGUCCCUAUCUACUUACUGUCAGUGACGGACGUGUUUUCUACGAGCUGCCAUUAAUACGGUUAUUUUUGGUGUAAAUCCGCGGUAUGACACCGCCGCACAGGUAGCUGCCAGGAGGCGACUGUCCUCCUGCCAUAGACUGAUCCUGCUUGGAUGUCUAUCUGUAUGCCGAACAGUGUCCACCGCGGCACUGCAUGUUCUUGCUGGAGCCCCCCCGCUUGACUUGCCCGCUAAGAAAUUAGCGGUCAAAUACAAGCUGAAGCGUGGAUACCCGCUGGAGGAGAACGACUGUCUCUAUAGCGAGGAUAUUGCGCGUCUAAGCCGGGAGCAAAAAGAGAUUCGCCUAGAGGAAUGCUUGCUAUUGAGUUGGCAAAGCAGAUGGGUUGACGACAGCGAACCAGGACGGGUGACGCACAGGUUCAUCCCGGACGUCACCCUUCUCUAUCGGGAUCCAAAUUUUGGUUUCUUGAUUAUGGCGUCUUUCUUGCUCACUGGGCACGGGUCGUUCAACGCAUUUCUGCAUGGCAGAGCCCUCAGCGAUACCACUGCUUGCGCAUGUGGUGAUCCAUACGAGGAUUGGGUGCACGUGUUGUGCGCCUGCCCCCUAUAUGCAGAUUUGCGAGACCUCGAUGGACUUGGAGUGCAGCGCGUUGGCGAGGACUGGAUAUUUGAAAGAAUCCUGGAGGAUCGGGAGAGAACCCAACGUCUUCGCUGAGUUGGCGUUCCGCAGAAGAAGGGGCACUUAGCCUGACGCUUCGCCGUGUGGUUAGCGGUCGAGAAUACUGCCACAGCUUGCCGCAGCUUGUCGUAGGAGGCGACUAAUGCGGCAAUAGGUCACUCCGCCCGUGCUUGUCGGCUAGGGGAAGUGCUUGCCCGGCAAGCAAGCACUCGAAUUGCUACCGGGGUGGUCGCUAUGUACAUAGCUAUAGCCUCCAGACCGGGACGUUUUGUCUAGCGUAUUUGGACACAUGCAUCAUAUGCUCACUUGUGGGUGUAUAGGGUGCCGUGGUUGUAAUCCCUUCAAUGUGGAACACGCCACGUAAAACAAGUUCGGAGGGAUCCGAUUCAAACACUGUCCCUAUCUACUAUCUAGCGAAACCACAGCCAAGGGAACGGGCUUGGAAUAAUUAGCGGGGAAAGAAGACCCUUUUGUGCUUGACUCUAAUCUGGCAGUGUUAGGAGACAUAAGAGGUGUAGAAUAAGUGGGAGAUAUUAGACCUCGGUUCGGUAUCGCCACUACUCUUAUUGUUUCCGUACUUACUUGAUUAAAUGGAACGUGUAUCAUUUCCUAGCCAUUAUACGGAUAUAUUUAUUAUAUCUUAUGGCAUUGGGUUUUGAUGCAAGCUUCUUGAUCAAAGUAUCACGAGUUUGUUAUAUAAUCCCAAACAAAUUCAUUAAUAAAACGAUGCAUUUAUGUAUUUUUGGUUUGAAAAUUUGGUAUAACUCCAAUUACUCAGGUAUGAUCCAAUUCAAGGACAUUGCCAGGUAGGGAGUUUGUCUGGGGCGGUACAUCUCUCAAAUAAUAACGGAUGUGUCCCAAGGCCAGCUCAGUGCGGACAGAAACCACACAUAGAGCAAAAGGGCAAAUGCUGACUUGAUCUCGGUGUUCAGUACACAAAAGCUCAGCCUAUCGAUCCUUUUGGUUUAAAGAGUUUUUAACAAGAGGUUUCAGAAAAGUUACCAUAGGGAUAACUGGCUUGUGGCGGCCAAGCGUUUAUAGUGAUCAUUGUGAAGCAAAAUUCACCAAGCGUUGGAUUGUUCACCCAUGCAAGGCACAUGAGCUGGGUUUAGACCGUCGUGAGACAGGUUAGUAUUACCCUACUAAUGACAAAACGUUGUUGCGGCAAGGGGCAAUUUGCAUUGUAUGGCUUCUAAACCAUUUAAAGUUUAUAAUUUACUUUGUAACAUAGUAAAUUGGGAGGAUCUUCGAUCACCUGAUGCCGCUCUAAUUACAUGUAAAAGCAUUAUUUAAUAUAAUGACAAAGCCUAGAAUCAAUUGUAAACGACUUUUGUAACAGGCAAGGUGUUGUAAGUGGUUGAGCAGCUAGCAUAUUGCGACCCACUGAAGCUUAUCCUUUGCUUGAUGAUUCGAUAUAAAAUAUAUAAGUGCUCAUCAUGUCUUUAAAAUAGGAAGCAGCAUUCCAUCCCUCAGCGCCCAGAGUGCCCAGAGU